UGGGGAAUAUUGCACAAUGGGGGAAACCCUGAUGCAGCGACGCCGCGUGAGCGAAGAAGGCCUUCGGGUCGUAAAGCUCUUUUAUAUGGGAAGAUAAUGACGGUAACCGGAGAAGAAGCCCCGGCUAACUUCGUGCCAGCAGCCGCGGUAAUACGAAGGGGGCUAGCGUUGUUCGGAUUUACUGGGCGUAAAGCGCACGUAGGCGGACUAUUAAGUCAGGGGUGAAAUCCCGGGGCUCAACCCCGGAACUGCCUUUGAUACUGGUAGUCUUGAGUUCGAGAGAGGUGAGUGGAAUUCCGAGUGUAGAGGUGAAAUUCGUAGAUAUUCGGAGGAACACCAGUGGCGAAGGCGGCUCACUGGCUCGAUACUGACGCUGAGGUGCGAAAGCGUGGGGAGCAAACAGG
rnacentral:rRNA from 1 species